UACGGAGGAUCCAAGCGUUUAUCCGGAAUCAUUGGGUUUAAAGGGUCCGUAGGCGGUCUUAUAAGUUCAGUGGUGAAAUCUCUCCGCUCAACGGGGGAAACGGCCAUUGAUACUGUAAGACUUGAAUUAUUGGGAAGUAACUAGAAUAUGGUAGUGUAGCGGUGAAAUGCUUAGAUAUUACAUGGAAUACCGAUUGCGAAGGCAGGUUACUACCAAUGGAUUGACGCUGAUGGACGAAAGCGUGGGGAGCGAACAGG
rnacentral:rRNA from 1 species